rnacentral:rRNA from 1 species
UGAACGCUAGCGGCAGGCCUAACACAUGCAAGUCGAGGGGUAGAAGGAGCUUGCUCCUUUGAGACCGGCGCACGGGUGCGUAACGCGUAUGCAACCUGCCUUCCACAGGGGAAUAGCCCAGAGAAAUUUGGAUUAAUGCCCCAUGGCACAGCGAGACGGCAUCGUCUUGCUGUUAAAGUAACAACGGUGGAAGAUGGGCAUGCGUCCCAUUAGCUAGUUGGUAAGGUAACGGCUUACCAAGGCUAUGAUGGGUAGGGGUCCUGAGAGGGAGAUCCCCCACACUGGUACUGAGACACGGACCAGACUCCUACGGGAGGCAGCAGUGAGGAAUAUUGGUCAAUGGUCGCAAGACUGAACCAGCCAUGCCGCGUGCAGGAUGACGGUCCUAUGGAUUGUAAACUGCUUUUGUACGGGAAGAAACACUCCUACGUGUAGGGGCUUGACGGUACCGUAAGAAUAAGGAUCGGCUAACUCCGUGCCAGCAGCCGCGGUAAUACGGAGGAUCCGAGCGUUAUCCGGAAUCAUUGGGUUUAAAGGGUCCGUAGGCGGCCCUGUAAGUCAGCGGUGAAAUCUCCCGGCUCAACCGGGAAACUGCCGUUGAUACUGCAGGGCUUGAAUUGCCGGGAAGUAACUAGAAUAUGUAGCGUAGCGGUGAAAUGCUUAGAUAUUACAUGGAAUACCGAUUGCGAAGGCAGGUUACUACCGGCGUAUUGACGCUGAUGGACGAA